AGUAAAACGCCUGCGUGUAAUAAUGGUUUGUGUAGAGAAUUUUAUGUAAUAUUACAUAGUUUUCAUAGAACACAUUUCGUCUUUUUGCCUAACACCAAUUACGCCCAAAUUGUGUAAUAUUAACAACAUUUUCAAGUAAUAUCGCAUAUGCGUGUUUCCUCAAGUUAAGCUGUCAAAUUUUUUCACCAUCCGCAAUCAAAUCAAAACAAUGCUAACCAAAUUUUAGUGGUGCUGAGCAAAGUGACGAAAAAAUAACAAGUUCUGUGGCCAAGAGCUGCCGUUAAGGAUGUUCGCCAUCAAAAAGAACCUUCCGGUGCGGUACAUCUUCUUCUUUGGCAUCGACAUCAACGCCUAGAUCGAAGAAACCCAGAUCAAUCCGCACCACGAGUUCAAGGAGAAGCUGGUGUCGUCGUGCAAGUCGACCGGCUUCAAGGAGGCGGUCCAGCAGAGAGGACUUUAUCGCCAACUCGGAGAACUCUGCGCAUCUGUUAACGGGUGAACUGGACAACCGUCCCGAAACGGACCUCGAGGUAAACAAACUGCGGAAAACGACAAGAGUGAGGACGGCAAGGAGGACGAGAGCGUUAACAACACGACGACCCAGAGUGCGCUGGAAACGGCCAAACGACGAGGACGGUUCUCCCUGUCCCCGUAUGCCAUCCAGUACCCAGUACUGGGACGAAUUCCUGCUUGAGCCAUACUCAUACGCGCGGGACAUUGCAAAAAAAUCUGCCUCCAAGAAGAAAGUACGUGUCUCACAGCCAUCAAAUUGAACCCAGGUCGCUUCGACGCCCAAGGCCAAGGCCAUCGAGGACAUUGCGAACAAGCCAUCGCCGAAGCGCAAACGAAAACUAAACGAUUCCGGCAACGUGUCGACGCUGGAUCUGGAAAUCGUCUCGCCGGUGCCCUUUCACACCUCCGUAACGGUGGCGUAUCCUGCCACGCUCGAAAUCGACAUGCGAGCGUGUCGAACACGCUGCAGUUGCGCAACAUUCAGGCCUCAAAUAUAAAGUUUGGCUUCUUCGGGCUCGGCAUCAUGUGCGACGGCAUCGUCAAGAACCUAGAACCGGGCCGGAGUUCGGUAACUGUGGAAUCAUGUCCAAGAACGUCGCAGGACAUUGCCGAAAAGAUCAUCUUCAAAGAAGGCCGGUACCAGGAAGCACAAAUUGAAAGCUCCAAGAACCAGACCAGGAGGGCACGAUGAUCAUCCUGACCGGCGGCGAGCGGUUGCCGUCGAAGAGACCUUCUUCGAAGCCAUCUCGUGCAACUCGUUCUACCUCGGUGAGGUGGGCAACGUGACCAAGAAAAACCUGGUGCUGCAGAUGAUGAUUUACAGCGUGAUGCUGGCCGGCAUAGCGAAGAGAUUGUAAGAUUCAGUGAUGCAGCAUGCAGCCGCGACUGCGAAUGAUCAGCACGGAUCUCGAUUCAUCCAUCAAAAUCUGGAAUGGGAAAUGGUGUUUUCGAGUUCGGCGUCAUCCACAAGUACUUCGCCGAACAGAAGCAAACAUUCACUCCCAGCUGUCUUUGAUGGCCCCAAAAAGCAUUCUGGGCAAGCAGCAGCAGCAAAUCCUUCGCGAGUUGGGCGGCCAGCAUUGAGUGCGUCGAUCCGGUCGUGCUGCAGUGCAUCAUCGGUUACGGAACGCGAUACGGCAAAUUGCUCUCAGUUGGAUUUAGAUGUGAUUGCGGUCGUUUGGGCAAAAUUGUACCAGCAACAAGAAACCCGUACAAACGGAUGUCCAAGCUGGCCGCCGGGAAAGACAGCGCAUCGCCAACACUCGAACUUCACUCUGUAAGCCGAUCAAAUGAUUCGGAACGACACAAAGUUCAAGUGUUUAAGAGAAAAUUAUCCGCAAUAAAUCAGAUUGAGAAUAAAUAUUUCGUUUGUUUAUGUUUGACAUGACAUUUCUAGGUAGAAACCAAUUCGAUAUCUAUCCCUGGCCCAAAAAUGGGCUUUGUGUAAUAUUAC